AAUGAUCUCAUUAGCCCAGACAAGACCCUUAGGAAACUUGAGGCGAGGCCCUGCUUUUAAAUGGGGCUUCUUUGAAGUGGCCACCACCUGAAGCAGCCACCUGAGAGAGUGGGAACAAAGCCAGCCUGUGAGGCCUGUGCCCGCUCAAGCCGGCGCCAUGGGGCUGCUCACACGGCAGGACUUGGCCUCUGUGUGGCCCAGGAUGCCCUUCGGGUUUCCAUUAGCUCGCUCCCAGCCACCCUCUUCAUAGGCUCAUUCGGAGAGGCAACCUGGCUGGCUGCACAUGAGGUCAUGUGUUACGAUGGUGACAGCCAGAAGGGACCUGUGGCCUUCUCUGGGCCUCACCUUCUGAGGACGGGUGCCUGAACUGCCACAAGAGCAUCGGUGGAGACCCCAACCAGACAUUCCCCCUUCCACAUGGAUGUCUGUUUCUCGGGCCAGCUCCAGGUUCUCGGGGCUCCCUCUCCCUCUGGCUGCAUCCAACAUGAAGCAGGGGGAGGGUCAGCAUCCCAGCAGGGCCUGGCCACAUGUGUUGGAGCUGCCCUAGCCAAAUCUGAGGGUGACUGACCUUCCGAGAAAUGAGCACCCGGCCUAUUGUUCCACCAUGGGGUGCAAACUCCAGACAGGCAGAUGGAAGAGAUUCACCUUUCCAGAACUGCAUGCCGAGCCCUCCCAGCAGGCUGCGGCUGAGGCCCUGCCUAUUAAUAGUCAAGCAGCUGUUUGCCUCCCUGAAUGAGACUCUUUAUUGCAAGCUGCGUUGACAAAACAGAUCCCGCUCCUUCCUGCCCAGAAUAUUUGGGGGUGGAGGGGCCGCAGGGAGAUGUUCCUUCCUUCCAGGGAAGUUGAGAAGGUCAGCAGUGGAAAAGACCUUAACGGUGACCCCCCUCUCAGCACUCGGGAGACCAAAACCAAGCUCAUUACCACCACUUCCUUUGCCCUCACCCAUGUUCCUAGCUCCAGCCAGCAGACCACUGUUCCCCCAGGAUUUCCUCAAAUUCUCUCCCCUCCCUUGUCCCAGUCCCAAUCUAGAAGCCUCAGAGUCAAGACCUCAAGUGACUGCCCUCUGCUGACAUCCAGGCUCUCAUCUCCCAGACCCAUGCCCCUUCAGUCCACCGUGUCUUUGAAUCUCCAUGCUCUACCUCAGCUCCUGGUCUUUGCACACACCAUUUCUCCUGCCCUCUUCCCAUGUUUAAUGGUCCCUUAAGUCUUGGUUUAAAAAGAGACCACUUCAGGAAGACUUGUUUCCCCAUACCCAACUCAGCAUGCUUCAUGCUUUGCUUAAUCUUCCUCCUUGUCUGAAGUUCUAAGGGGUAGAGUGGGUGGUUUGUUUUUUGUUUUUUUUUUUCAUUGUAUUUCUCCACCACCCACCAGGACACUAUAUGACACUGAGUUGAAUAAAAAAAAAAGGAG
ensembl:lncRNA